UUUAGAAAUUAGAGGGUUAUUACUUCCCUAAAUUGUCAGUCUUCUGAUGCCAUUUCAUAGCCUGUGUUUAAUAUAGGCUGACAGUAGGUACUGUAUUGGCUAGAUGUUUUCAGUUAGAUAAACAAGUAUUAAUUUAGCUUUCACUUGGAUAAAAGUUAGUGACCAGCUAUGAAUAAGAUUCCUUUCCCUUUCACAAACCCACAGGAACAGACAGAAGCAGCAGAUGCAAAACCCAGGAAGGAGCUGGAAGAACAUAACGAUGUGGUGUGGACUGCAGCAGGGCACUGCUUUUAUCGGAAAAUCAGGUGCUACAGGAAGAGCCUUGUGCGGUGCUCUGCUGUUGACCUUCUCCGUGGGACUGGACUUGUACAGAGGUCUUGUCAUCUGAGCUCUAAGGACAGGAACAGCAAAAUCAUGGAGCCAGGCAUUUUGAUGUGCCAAUAAGCACUGCAUGCUGUGCUGGUCAAAAGUAACAAGAGGUCCAUCUCUCCUUACUUUGAGUUUGGAGACGAAACCACGUUAACAUGAAAUGAGCUUUGCAAAAAAAAUUAUUGCUGUAGUUUUCAUUUAGCAAAAUAGCUGCAAGCCAGCAAUAGGCAUGUUUUCAUAUGGAACAAAAAUGUUAUUUACAGGUGGGGGUUUUUCACUGCCUUUAAUGAUUUGUUCUGAGCAGUGUGUGGAAAAAUAGGCUCAUACAAUUCAUACAAAUUAUAUCAGCCUUUAUUGUAUCAGCCUGUUCUCACAGGCACUGUUUUGUUUUGUAGCCUUCUUUUCAGUGUGCCUGAAACACAAACUCAAAGAGGUGCAUGGGAGUUGCAAAGAUGAGUAGCUCUCACUGUACAGUACGUCUGAUGCUGCAGAGCAUUAGCACUGUAAAUGUUUAUUUUAUGUAAAACAAAGAAAUGAAGUGCUGGAGAAAAGGAUGCAGUGUCCUGACCAAUGUGGCAGGAGGUCAAACUCACUGGUUAGAAUAAAAAAACUCUUUUGGAGACUGAAGUGAGUUUU
rnacentral:lncRNA from 1 species